AUGUACGAACUGAAACCAGAAUGUGCCAAGGAGUUCAACUUGUAUUUCUAUCGCUUCUCAAGGGCAGAGCAGUCCAAGGCAGAAGAAGCUCAAAGGAAAUUGAGAAGACAAAAUAAGAGAAGAUACAGCACUUCCACCUUGGUUUUGCCUCUUGUCUGCCAUCUCUUUGCAAGUCUGGUUAACAUUUUGCAGUCAGAUGUCACGUUGUGCAUCAUGGGAAUGAUACUGCAGUGGGCUGUAGAAUAUAAUGGAUAUGCCUGGUCAGAGUCUAUGCUGCAAAGGGUAGGUUUGAUGACAUUUUUUAUUUAUAUUUUCAAAAAACCAAAAAACUCUUGGCAAUAUCUAUGCACCAAAAAAUUAGGAUAAAAACAUUGCAUAUUACCUAACUUGUAAUGUAAUAUUAUUGCUAUUCCUUUUGUUUCUAGCAAUGGAAAUGUGUGCCUGGUAGGUAAUUUUGAGACCCCAUGGUUGUAUUCACCUCAGUCCGUUGGCUGGUCUGUCUCCAUCACCGGCUCUGGCCUUUGUAUUUGCACUACUAUGCUGUUGGUGUUAUGUGUUAGCUUUGAAAUAUCUCAUUUAAUUCUCAAAACACUUGCCUUCAUCAAUAUCCAUAUUGUACAGUUGAAGAAAUUGAAAGUUGGAGAUUUAUUUUCCUGUGUAACUAAAAAGUGGCAGGUCUAGAACUCUGUUUGAAUCUUAUUUUAUAGUUUUAACUUAAGUCAUUCUUACAUUAUCUCAUUGAAUUCACACACAUUUUUUUCAAAAAUGUAACAAAUUUUUCCUGGUCUUUUUUGUUUUAAGUCCUUGAAGUGUGUCUAAAGUAUUGCAUCUGUGAUAAUUAAACAAAUCUUUUGUGUCUCAAACUAAGCAACAACAAGAGUAUUAAAUGAUCUCCAUGAUAUUUUCUAGCAGGUUAAAUUUUUCAGACCAACCAAAUCUGACCCAGUGGAUUAGAACAAUAUCUCAGCAGAUAAAAGCAUUACAGAGUCUUAGGAAAGAAGAAAAUGCUUCCAGUAAGUUCUGGUAACCUGCCUUCUUUUUUCCCUAAAAUAUUUCCAGAAAUUGUUUCCAAGAAAUUGUUUAAAAGUAUUUAAAACUGAAAGCUUUCAUUUAAAAAUUUGGUAUGUCAUUUAUAUGAACAACACAAAAA
rnacentral:lncRNA from 1 species